AUGCACGCUGGCGGCGUGCCUAAUACAUGCCAGUCGCGCGAACAGACGAGGAGCUUGCUCCUCUGACGUUAGCGGCGGACGGGUGAGUAACACGUGGAUAACCUACCUAUAAGACUGGGAUAACUUCGGGAAACCGGAGCUAAUACCGGAUAAUAUAUUGAACCGCAUGGUUCAAUAGUGAAAGACGGUUUUGCUGUCACUUAUAGAUGGAUCCGCGCCGCAUUAGCUAGUUGGUAAGGUAACGGCUUACCAAGGCGACGAUGCGUAGCCGACCUGAGAGGGUGAUCGGCCACACUGGAACUGAGACACGGUCCAGACUCCUACGGGAGGCAGCAGUAGGGAAUCUUCCGCAAAGGGCGAAAGCCUGACGGAGCAACGCCGCGUGAGUGAUGAAGGUCUUCGGAUCGUAAAACUCUGUUAUUAGGGAAGAACAAAUGUGUAAGUAACUAUGCACGUCUUGACGGUACCUAAUCAGAAAGCCACGGCUAACUACGUG
rnacentral:rRNA from 1 species